AUCACCCCCUAAUACUCUCUCUGAUGUGCCUUUUUUUUAUUACAGUAUGCUAUGUUACUUCAAUUGAUAUUGGUUUUCAGGUCCAGCCGCCCUGGAUAAAAAGGUCAAAUUCAACCUUGACAUAGUAAGCAAAUUCGAAAAAACUGGAGAAUUAGAACAGAAGCCAUGGAACAGAA